UACGUAGGGUGCGAGCGUUAAUCGGAAUUACUGGGCGUAAAGCGUGCGUAGGCGGUUCUCCAAGUCCGUUGUGAAAGCCCCGGGCUCAACCUGGGAAUGGCAGUGGAAACUAGGGGGCUUGAAUCUGGCAGAGGGGGGUGGAAUGCCGCGUGUAGCAGUGAAAUGCGUAGAGAUGCGGCGGAACACCGAUGGCGAAGGCAGCCCCCUGGGCUGAGAUUGACGCUCAGGCACGAAAGCGUGGGGAGCAAACAGG
rnacentral:rRNA from 1 species